AAUAAUUUAAAUCAAUUAAACCAAGCAAUCUCAUUAAAGUAAACCAACAAUAUUAUCCAGCGGAAGACUUAACCAAAAAUCCAAUAAUACGAUUCCAUUAAACCAACAAGUUCAACCAAACAUUAUUCCAAAACAUGAUCCUCCUAACAUGUUUCUAAAUUCCAUUCUAACACCCUAACAAAUCCAACAAUAAUCUAAAACACCAAUGAGUGCCUAGAUCAUCCUCCUCUCCUCGCCAUGAUUCCACGGAUCACACUUUGCUUUUACCUGCAUCAAAGAAAGAGAUGCAUAAGUAUUUCAUAAAUACUUAGUGAGGGCGAUCCUCCCAUCUACGAGCUAUACACACAAGCAAUGAGAUAACACCCACAUAUAUAACAAAAACAAACCAUCCAGCAAGCUAAACAUCCAAUAACACAUCCAGUUCACCUACAAAUCAUCACACAACAAGUCACUCAAUCCCAAUCGCUUAGAUAAGCUCAUGGUCACGCACUCACCUUAACAAGGUGAUUUGAGUUACAAAAACAACCAGGAAAUACUCUCUUCGUGACUGCAACAGCCAAACAACGCCCUACAACAAACCACACAAACACAAAUCUCUAAGAACCAAAAGGACAGAAACAUCAAAAAAACUACAGCCGCAGAAACGAAGCCCUAAAACAUAAACUAACCGUUAACUUCUUAAUCCCUACGGUGAAAAGCAAGAUACAGACGUCACGAAGCCCCCUACAAAAUUUGGUGCCGAUCGGAGAAACGAUGAAUCCACGAUCGCACUUACAAACUCCGCUGAUCCCAGUUCGCAACAGAGAAAACGCGUCUCACCAAACUGCAUAUAACUCACUGAGUAUUAAUCCAAAUUCACUUCUGUAAAAAGGAGAAUCAACGUACACGCCUUAAGAACAAACCUACCAAAAUUCAUUACCNNNNNNNNNNNNNNNNNNNNNNNNNNNNNNNNNNNNNNNNNNNNNNNNNNNNNNNNNNNNNNNNNNNNNNNNNNNNNNNNNNNNNNNNNNNNNNNNNNNNUUCGAUAAGAUUUGAUACGUCGUAACUCUAUUCUACCAGAACGUGACGGAUCUGCUUCUCUUGCCUUAAACACCAAAGCAAAGCUAACACUCUCCUUUUCACAAGUAAACUUCUCAUUUUCCUUUUCUCAACUCAACUCUCAGAAACAACAGCCACAAAACAAGAGAGAGAAGAAGCAUUCUUUAUAAAACUAGGGUUUUUGGUUUAAUUCUGAUUAAACCAGAAUUUACCUAAACCGACUUUAAUUAAACCUCUUUUGGUUCAAUUAAACAAAUCGACCAGUUUAGGAAAUCAACCGGAAUUAAACCGAUUCCACCCUAAUUCUUAUACACAUUCAAGUCUCAUAUUAAUUUUCAGAACACGGGCGUUACAAUUCUCCCCCACUAACAUGGAUUCGUCCUCGAAUCCUUCAACACCGUCCACCAGUUGGACUCCGUGCAACCGUCCCAAACGAUCUGCACUCCCACAACUGACUCCUCUGAGGCUCCUAUCUAAUCCAUAUACUCACGUUCCAGACCCUAUUUGCUCAUACUCACCCACUUCCCCCGUCCACAGGUCGCAACCCAUGAAUCAUACCGGCUCGUCCUCAGGCCUCUGCCUUAGACUACGGUAUCCAGGAAGUCUCACCACUCCCCCCGCUAUCAGGUCGCAACCCUCAAGUCAUACCGGCUCACUAUUAGGCCACCCGCCUUCUAGCUACGGUAUCCGGGAAGUCUCACGCUCGCUCUCGGGUCGUCACCCUCAAAUGUGCACUCGAAUCGUCAUCCGAAGCCAUCACAUCAUAUCCGAGCAAAUAAGUCUAAACGCCCCCGAGCAUAUCUCUCGAUUAGAUAUACCUCCCGUGGUCCACUUAUAGCAUCGCAAUGCUAUACUAACCACCACCCCGAGACUUUCCAAAAAUAGAACCGUCAAACCCGACACUUUCUAUUUUUAGAAACUCGCACAUAUUUCUCUUACACAUGACACAACAAGUCAAAUCAAGAAAUACUCACAUAGUCCAAGUACAACAUCACAAUGUCAUACCUACCAAACAAUAUUCCCACCUGGAAUAUCAUCUCUACCAUGACCAUUCUUCAAGUCAACUCCCAAACAAUCCCGUCACUCAGAGUAUUACAUAAUAGUCUCCAACUUAACUUCUCGGAAAUCCAUUUCCAACAAAACACCACCGAAGACCCGCGCUCCAGACUACAACCACCACAACCACAUAACUACUUCGAGCACCACGCUCGCAACCUCUAGCCUCCCACACUGCCACGAGCAGAAACUAGGAAAACAGAUGACUAGAGAAAAGAUAAAACAUCACAACUUACCGUGGAAUCUCAUUGAAGGCUCGAGAGGAUGAUCUAGGUCUCCAUGCUCACACAACUGAUUAAACACACAAAUCAAUCAGCAUGCAAUCCACAUCAUCAUUUUCCAUCAACGAAAUUCACACAUCACAUAAAAAAUAACCAAUUUACUCCCGCCCUAGAACCGUAAGGGCUCUGAUACCAAAUUGAAAGAACCCAUCCCAUUUUUUUUUCUUUUAAACAUGCAAACCGGAUUAACCCAAUUAAUUCGAACCAGCUAAACCGGCCAUAAUAAUUUAAAUCAAUUAAACCAAGCAAUCUCAUUAAAGUAAACCAACAAUAUUAUCCAGCGGAAGACUUAACCAAAAAUCCAAUAAUACGAUUCCAUUAAACCAACAAGUUCAACCAAACAUUAUUCCAAAACAUGAUCCUCCUAACAUGUUUCUAAAUUCCAUUCUAACACCCUAAUAAAUCCAACAAUAAUCUAAAACACCAAUGAGUGCCUAGAUCAUCCUCCUCUCCUCGCCAUGAUUCCACGGAUCACACUUUGCUUUUACCUGCAUCAAAGAAAGAGAUGCAUAAGUAUUUCAUAAAUACUUAGUGAGGGCGAUCCUACCAUCUACGAGCUAUACACACAAGCAAUGAGAUAACACCCACAUAUAUAACAAAAACAAACCAUCCAGCAAGCUAAACAUCCAAUAACACAUCCAGUUCACCUACAAAUCAUCACACAACAAGUCACUCAAUCCCAAUCGCUUAGAUAAGCUCAUGGUCACGCACUCACCUUAACAAGGUGAUUUGAGUUACAAAAACAACCAGGAAAUACUCUCUUCGUGACUGCAACAGCCAAACAACGCCCUACAACAAACCACACAAACACAAAUCUCUAAGAACCAAAAGGACAGAAACAUCAAAAAAACUACAGCCGCAGAAACGAAGCCCUAAAACAUAAACUAACCGUUAACUUCUUAAUCCCUACGGUGAAAAGCAAGAUACAGACGUCACGAAGCCCCCUACAAAAUUUGGUGCCGAUCGGAGAAACGAUGAAUCCACGAUCGCACUUACAAACUCCGCUGAUCCCAGUUCGCAACAGAGAAAACGCGUCUCACCAAACUGCAUAUAACUCACUGAGUAUUAAUCCAAAUUCACUUCUGUAAAAAGGAGAAUCAACGUACACGCCUUAAGAACAAACCUACCAAAAUUAAUUACCUUUCGAUAAGAUUUGAUACGUCGUAAAUCUAUUCUACCAGAACGUGACGGAUCUGCUUCUCUUGCCUUAAACACCAAAGCAAAGCUAACACUCUCCUUUUCACAAGUAAACUUCUCCUUUUCAUUUUCUCAACUCAACUCUCAGAAACAACAGCCACAAAACAAGAGAGAGAAGAAGCGUUCUUUAUAAAACUAGGGUUUUUGGUUUAAUUCUGAUUAAACCAGAAUUUACCUAAACCGACUUUAAU
rnacentral:lncRNA from 1 species